rnacentral:misc_RNA from 1 species
UCAGGUCUUUCACCUGCAGAUCUCCCUUUCGCAAAGCUCAAAAUAAAGCUAAGAUAAAGAGGGACGAGGGUUGCGCUCGUUACCGAACUGAAUCUGACAUCUCACGACACGAGCUGAAGACAGCCAUGCAACGCCUGAACAUAAGUAUAAAUACUUAAAUCACUUGGACUGGUAAGGUUUUGCGCGUUUUGUCGAAUUAAACCACAUGCUCCACCGCUUGCACAGAUUUCCGUCAAUUUCUUUGAAUUUCAGUCUUGCGACCGUACUUCCCAGGCGGAAUGUUUUACGUUAGCAAGGAAACCGUCUAAUGACCUCCAACAUUCUUGAUUGACUGCAUGGACUAC